GUAGGGAAUAUUGGACAAUGGGGGCAACCCUGAUCCAGCGACGCCGCGUGAGUGAUGAAGGCCUUCGGGUCGUAAAGCUCUGUUGCAGGGGAAUAAAAAAAUGAAGGUACCCUGUGAGGAAGGAUCGGCUAACUUCGUGCCAGCAGCCGCGGUAAGACGAGGGAUCCUAGCGUUGCUCGGAAUCAUUGGGCGUAAAGAGGGCGUAGGUGGCUUGGUAAGUCAGGUGUGAAAGCCCAGGGCUCAACCCUGGAAGUGCAUUUGAUACUGCUGAGCUUGAGUGUCGGAGAGGUUACCGGAAUACCUGGUGUAGUGGUGAAAUACGUAGAUAUCAGGUGGAACACCGGAGGCGAAGGCGGGUAACUGGACGAACACUGACACUGAGGCCCGAAAGCGUGGGGAUCAAACAGGAUUAGAUACCCCGGUAGUCC
rnacentral:rRNA from 1 species